rnacentral:misc_RNA from 1 species
GAAAUGCGAUAAGUAAUAUGAAUUGCAGAAUUCAGUGAAUCAUCGAAUCCUUGAACGCACAUUGCGCCCGCCAGUAUUCUGGCGGGCAUGCCUGUUCGAGCGUCAUUUCAACCAUCAAGCCCCCGGCUUGUGUUGGGGACCUGCGGCUGCCCGCAGGCCCUGAAAAACAGUGGCGGGCUCGCUGUCACACCGAGCGUAGUAGCAUACAUUCUCGCUCAGGGCGUGCUGCGGGUUCCGGCCGUUAAACGACCUUCAUAACCCAAGGUUGACCUCGGAUCAGGUAGGAAGACCCGCUGAACUUAAGC